AUUGAAGAAAAGCCUGCUAACAGAGCUGUGAUGGUGCCUGGAGAUGUGGCUGUGGCAAAUAAAAGUUGCGACAACACAACAGCCAAGGAAAACCCAAGUAUGUGUUGGGGAGAUUACAGUGAUAGUGAAGCUGAGGUUGUUGAAGUUACUAGCUGAAUCAAGAGUUUAGACUCUCCUUAAGUAGAAGUGACAUGUUCAUAGCCCCAACAGCAUUUGACUGCAAGAGAGGCAAAAACAACACAUUGAAUUGCGAGAAGCAGUUAGCAAGUGGAAAGAAUUCUUCUUGCGAAAGCCUGAAGGGAUGUGAAAUGUUAACUAAGGGCCUUCAUUGAUAAUAGGCUGGUGUCUGGAAGAUAUCUAUCUACAUAGUAAGCAUGUCCUCUCCGCUUGAGUUUUGUUGGUUGUUAAGUGAAACGAACAGAACCUCCAGGUGCUAUGUACUUUUCCUUUUAUAUUUUUUGGAUUAUGGUUGUGCAUGGAACUUGAAAGUUCUUUUACUAGAAAAUUUCAAUUUUCUUGCUUGUAACCAAAUAUGUAUGGUAGAAGGAUCCUUGAUGAUGUAAUAAUACUCAUGGUUUUUUUUUUUUUUGGUUA